rnacentral:rRNA from 1 species
AGUGAACGCUGGCGGUAGGCCUAACACAUGCAAGUCGAACGGCAGCACAGUAAGAGCUUGCUCUUACGGGUGGCGAGUGGCGGACGGGUGAGGAAUACAUCGGAAUCUACUUUUUCGUGGGGGAUCACGUAGGGAAACUUACGCUAAUACCGCAUACGACCUACGGGUGAAAGCAGGGGAUCUUCGGACCUUGCGCGAUUGAAUGAGCCGAUGUCGGAUUAGCUAGUUGGCGGGGUAAAGGCCCACCAAGGCGACGAUCCGUAGCUGGUCUGAGAGGAUGAUCAGCCACACGGGAACUGAGACACGGUCCAGACUCCUACGGGAGGCAGCAGUGGGGAAUAUUGGACAAUGGGCGCAAGCCUGAUCCAGCCAUACCGCGUGGGUGAAGAAGGCCUUCGGGUUGUAAAGCCCUUUUGUUGGGAAAGAAAAGCAGCAGGUUAAUACCCCGCUGUUCUGACGGUACCCAAAGAAUAAGCACCGGCUAACUUCGUG